AAAUUGAAGAGUUUGAUCAUGGCUCAGAUUGAACGCUGGCGGCAGGCCUAACACAUGCAAGUCGAACGGUAACAGGAAGCAGCUUGCUGCUUUGCUGACGAGUGGCGGACGGGUGAGUAAUGUCUGGGAAACUGCCUGAUGGAGGGGGAUAACUACUGGAAACGGUGGCUAAUACCGCAUAACGUCGCAAGACCAAAGAGGGGGACCUUCGGGCCUCUUGCCAUCAGAUGUGCCCAGAUGGGAUUAGCUUGUUGGUGAGGUAACGGCUCACCAAGGCGACGAUCCCUAGCUGGUCUGAGAGGAUGACCAGCCACACUGGAACUGAGACACGGUCCAGACUCCUACGGGAGGCAGCAGUGGGGAAUAUUGCACAAUGGGCGCAAGCCUGAUGCAGCCAUGCCGCGUGUAUGAAGAAGGCCUUCGGGUUGUAAAGUACUUUCAGCGGGGAGGAAGGUGUUGCGGUUAAUAACCGCAGCAAUUGACGUUACCCGCAGAAGAAGCACCGGCUAACUCCGUGCCAGCAGCCGCGGUAAUACGGAGGGUGCAAGCGUUAAUCGGAAUUACUGGGCGUAAAGCGCACGCAGGCGGUCUGUCAAGUCGGAUGUGAAAUCCCCGGGCUCAACCUGGGAACUGCAUUCGAAACUGGCAGGCUUGAGUCUUGUAGAGGGGGGUAGAAUUCCAGGUGUAGCGGUGAAAUGCGUAGAGAUCUGGAGGAAUACCGGUGGCGAAGGCGGCCCCCUGGACAAAGACUGACGCUCAGGUGCGAAAGCGUGGGGAGCAAACAGGAUUAGAUACCCUGGUAGUCCACGCCGUAAACGAUGUCUACUUGGAGGUUGUGCCCUUGAGGCGUGGCUUCCGGAGCUAACGCGUUAAGUAGACCGCCUGGGGAGUACGGCCGCAAGGUUAAAACUCAAAUGAAUUGACGGGGGCCCGCACAAGCGGUGGAGCAUGUGGUUUAAUUCGAUGCAACGCGAAGAACCUUACCUGGUCUUGACAUCCACAGAAGAAUCCAGAGAUGGAUUGGUGCCUUCGGGAACUGUGAGACAGGUGCUGCA
rnacentral:rRNA from 1 species